rnacentral:rRNA from 1 species
GAUGAACGCUGGCGGCGUGCCUAAUACAUGCAAGUCGAGCGAACAGACGAGGAGCUUGCUCCUCUGACGUUAGCGGCGGACGGGUGAGUAACACGUGGAUAACCUACCUAUAAGACUGGGAUAACUUCGGGAAACCGGAGCUAAUACCGGAUAAUAUAUUGAACCGCAUGGUUCAAUAGUGAAAGACGGUUUUGCUGUCACUUAUAGAUGGAUCCGCGCCGCAUUAGCUAGUUGGUAAGGUAACGGCUUACCAAGGCAACGAUGCGUAGCCGACCUGAGAGGGUGAUCGGCCACACUGGAACUGAGACACGGUCCAGACUCCUACGGGAGACAGCAGUAGGGAAUCUUCCGCAAUGGGCGAAAGCUUGACGGAGCAACGCCGCGUGAGUGAUGAAGGUCUUCGGAUCGUAAAACUCUGUUAUUAGGGAGGAACAAAUGUGUAAGUAACUAUGCACGUCUUGACGGUACCUAAUCAGAAAGCCACGGCUAACUACGUG